CUGACCCCACACAGCCAAUCAGCGGCCACCCCGCCUAUCUGCCAGCGUCCGCACCAAUCAGGUGGCCUUGCCCCUGGAGGCCUGCCGGCACGUCCAACGCCCAUAGCACAGGCCUUUCCUUCCGGCGCCAAGCGCCUGCUGCUCCGCUGGCCGCGGGAGCCGGGCGAGCCAGUCCUUGUUGCUCCUGGGCCGGAGAGGUCUCCUGGGUUGGGAGGCGCAGGCCUGCCCCCGGAGGAGACGCGGGCGCCCCAGACGCCCGCCCUCCCGCCCGCGCUCGCCCUCCCGCCCGCGCUCGUCCUCCCAUCCGCCUGUUCCUCGGCGCGGGCUCCUGGCCGAGGAAACCGAAGCUCCAGUCAGCGGAGCAGCCGAGAUGGGGCGGGCGGGGUGUCGCCGGCCUGCGGGGCGUGUAGGGGAGCUGUGACGCUGGCGUGGGCGAGCGGACCGCUUCUUCCGUGAUAAGGAGUUGUCGGCUGAACCCAAGGGACAGAGCAGACUGUUUGAGAAAGAUGCUCCGAGCCGAGGGACCAGACUUGGUCUGGAAGGUCAGAUGGGGGCUUUGUCGCUACUGAGCUGAGGCCCCGUGGGAGCGGGCCCCCACCUCGAAGACCGCCUUGCUGGGAGCACUUUCGCUUUGGCGCAGAAUCAGCAGUGGCCACCGGGAUUGGAUCUUGAGAUGGUGGAGGAGAGCAGUCAGGACGCCUAAGUGUUAGCCCAGAGGACCGCAAGGAGGGCACCUGCACCAACCCGGGCGACCCGGUGGAAAGGAGCAGAGUUUGAAAAGCACACCCUGAAACGUGGGCAACAUGUCAUCCCUUUGUGGAAGAAACAGAAAAACAGAACACAUCCC
rnacentral:lncRNA from 1 species